ACUCACCAUAAUGAUUUGAAAGGAGAUGAUGAUCACAUGAUUUGAAAAUAUUCAUCAUAAAGUAUACACUCGUAACCCAUGUCUAACACUCUGACGGCGAGAGUUUUUUAGACUGCUGGGAAAGUAAGCCACGAACUUCAUGGCUGGUUUUGUUUGAUGAGAUCCAGAAGCUACACGUGAAACUAUCACGACAUCUCGCGGACUCUUAAGAAACGAAAGCUAAUCUUACAAGAAAAUUGCAAAAUUCCUGAAAACGUUGUGAGUGAACAAGCACCACAAACGUGAUAGACUGCAUUCCAUCACAACCUUUUUUCGUGGAUCAUUUACACAUGUACGUAUGGUUUGUGUUGCCCAUACGUAAUAAUCAUGUCGUUAAGCUUACAAGAGCGUGUUGAAAUUAUCCUGUUGUGUGGACGUCAAGGAUGGACACGGGGAGAAAAAGCUGUGGAGUUCAAUAACAAAAACAUCCGGAAAGAAAUCCAAUAUCUCAAUCAUGCUAUAUCGUUUACAAACACGUUUUGAACUUGGCGGUGGCCAUUUUGAACAGAUAUUGUAAUUAUGUCUUUAAAUAAAAAAUGUUUA